rnacentral:lncRNA from 1 species
AUACAUCGAUGACAUUCUGAUUAUUACCGAGAGGCCAAAUCACCUAAUGGAUUUAGAAGAGAGAUUUACUGACCAUAUUUAGGACUAAAAUUAAUAAAACAAAAAGAGAAUGAGGAAGAGAUAAGCUAUCUUGAUCUUAAAAUAAAAAUAGUACAUGGAAAAUAUAAUUUUAGCAUUUUUAGAAAACACAUACAUACCAAUCUUCAUCAAAGCGGACUCAAACGAACACUGGCACUACAAAAUGGCAGCCUUUAGAGCAUUACUCCAACUGGCACAAAUACACUGUAUGACACAAGCAGACAAGAAUGAAGAAAUUAAAUGGAUAAUGCAACACAAGCAACCCACUAUGGAUAUAACCAUAGUACAAUU